UAAUCUUAGUUGACUGGAGAAGGGAAUGUGGAUUUGACUGUGAUGUUUGUGUGUGUCUGCCCUGUGGGCUCUUCAGGUCGCACCCUGAUAAAGGCUGCAAAAAGUGUAGCAAACAUCCGAUGCUUUUGUGUGAACAAUUCUUCAUACAGUUUGAGUUUGACAUGAAACUGGGAUUUAGUCCAUCUUGGUGCAGCUUAAGGUACAAAAUGUUACCAUAGUUGGCAGUGAAGUCAUGUUGAGGUAAACAGAAUUUCUUGUUCCGUCACUUUGAAGAAAGUCUUGUGGUUUCCAGGUUAUCCUUGCAUAACUAUUUUCUGUUAUUGAAUACACACCAUUGCCUCAGGGACAUCAGAGGUGCAACUAAAGAAUGUGGUGUAAAGGUGCACACAUCAGAUAAUUUUAGGCAUGAGAGAAUAGUGUCCUUGUUAUUAUUCAGCUCUUCUCUGGUUUAGUUGCGUUACCUGAAAAACGGCUGCUAUACCUAAACGUUGUGGCUUUUUAUUAAGGUUCUUUAAUUCCUUAUACAGUCGUCCCUCGCUCUCAUCUUUCACGGCCUCUGUGUUUCGUGGAUUUUUUUACAGUGAAACUUUGGAUGCAUUUUUUUUACAGCGUAUGAACGUGCAUUGUGUUCUGCGUCUGCGACCCACCAGCGACACAUCCAACUCGCUGAUAUCCGGAGGAUGAAAAGAGAGAGAGAAAAUUCAAAAGAGGAACGUCUCGAUGUCCCGCCCUAAACAGCUUCACUUCCUCUCCCUGCCUCUGCCAAUCUACCAGAAGCCACGCCUCUACUUUUGUGCACGCACAUAGCGGAACAUAACAAGGUCGCAUCAGGUCGAAUUUAUAUAGGUCUGUGGGUCAUCGUUAUUCUUUUGGCAAUGGACAUUUCUGAGUUUCUGUUGUUCCUGCUGCUCUCUCUCCAGUCGUCGGCGGACCUGAGACCCACAAAUGCAUUAAGUUUACACCUGCAUAUCUGGGCUUUAUACGUGCUCUCACUGUUCCUGAAUAAAUCUCACCCUCUCUUCUUUCCUGUCAAUCCGGUCGUACUCCAAAGCCAUCGCUGCUACUCUUCCUUCUUUUGCAUUUUGGUCAGACUUAUCUAAAAAUUCGAAGUCCUCCUCUUUGCAUAAACCUCUCAUUGACUUUGAACAGAGAAAAACAAUUUAUUAAUUUUUAUUAUCAUUGAAGUAUCUAAAACAGAGUUCUGAAACUAUGAGCUACUUCUAGGUAGUGAAUAAUCCGAAGAGCUACCAGUUUGAUUUACACUUCUUGAAUACUAAAUAUUCACAAUUUCAUUUUGAAUAAAGGGUAAGAUAAUAGGGAAAACUAGCA
rnacentral:lncRNA from 1 species